AUUGAACGCUGGCGGCAGGCUUAACACAUGCAAGUCGAACGAGGGGCGGACCGGUGAGUAAUGUCUUGGAAACUGCCUUGUGUAGGUGGAUCACUACUGCAAACGUUAGCUAAUACCGACUCCCAUCGGAUGUGCCCAGAUCGGAGUAGCUAGUAGUUGGUGUAAUGGCUCACCUAGGCGACGAUCCCUAGCUGGUCUGAGAGGAUGACAAGAAACACUGGAAAUGAGACAGGGUCCAGAGUCCUAAGGGAGGCAGCAGUGGGGAAUAGUGGACAAGGGGCGGAAGCCUGAUGCAGCCAUGCAGCGUGUGUGAAGAAGGCCUGGGGGUUGUAAAGUACUUUCAGCGGGGAGGCGUUACCCGCAGAAGAAGCACCGGCUAACUCCGUGCCAGCAGCCGCGGUAAUAC
rnacentral:rRNA from 1 species